UGUGUGUUCUGGUGUCUUAAUGCCAGCUGUCAUUACGGAACUUAUCAAUUGACGUUUCAGUUUGAGAAACGUGGACAUUAGAGAAACACCUCCACCAAUUUCUACUUUCACAGAUUUAACGGGUGAAAUAUCACUCGGAAAUCAAUCGAAAUGGGUCGAAGUGCCCUGCUAUUUUGCUCCCUGUUGGUCAUUUCCUGCGUGGCCGCCCAGGAUCUAGUUUCUA